AUCUGAGGUCAAAAUUGCCUGAAAUGUAGCUAUUACUUUUGGGUGGAUUCUUCUCUUAGGAGGGGAGUAUCUAAGGGUGUUUCCAUUCCUGACUCUGAUUGUGGUGAUGAUGACAGGUAUUCCAGGAAGCUUGGUAUAUUUAUCAAGCCUUAUUAACUAGAUCCUUUGCUAUUAUUCUUGCAGUGAGAUGAUUAUACAUAUUUUCUGCUUUUUCGGUCUUUUUUUAAUUUCACCUAUUGAUAAUUUAUAAACAUAUGAACAAAUUUUGACUGGAAGUGAAAAUUCAGCAAAGUCAAAAGUGGGCAAUGCCACUGAAGAAGGAUGGAAAUCUGAGAGACAUUGUAACAAGAGUAAGAAAACUUUUUUUUACAGGCAGUCAUUGACUUUUAGGAAAUAUAUUUUAAGGACUCAUAUAUUUUUAAAAACUUAAUUAUGUUUUAAUGUUAAAGAAAAAUAUUAAAUGUUCCAUACAGUCACAUUUAGAAGUCAGACCAGGAAAAAGGGCAAAUGCGGGGGUGGGAGGUUAGAUAGUGGGAAGAGAUCAGAGGGAAUUUGGAGGGCCAGAGUGACUUUGUCCUUCAUCAUUGCUCUUUGAAAUGCUGACCAAGAAUUCCUUCUUCUUUGCUAAGUAAUAUAGGUUCUUAUUCUAAGUUUAAAGUGCUUCUUUGAAGAAAAAAAGAAUUUCCCCAAGGAAUUCUGGAAGUUUCUCCUAUUCAUAAUGAAAUAAAGACCUAAAGAUCUAUGGGAGUUCCUGUCAGGGCUCAGUGGUUAACAAAUCCAACUAGUAUCUAUGAGGAUGUGGUUUCAGUUCCUGGCCUUGCUCAGUGGGUUAAGGAUCUGGUGUUGCCUUGAGCUGGGGUGUAGGUCGCAGAUGCGGCUCAGAUCCAGUGUUGCUGUGGCUGUGGUGUAGGCCAGAAGUUACAGCUCUGAUUUGACCCCUAGCCUGCAGCCCUAAAAAACAAACAAACAAACAAACAAACAAGCAAACGAAAAACACUAAAGAUCUAAUGAUGAAGUAGGCAGAAAACUUGCCUUUAGAAAGCUUAAAGGGGUAGGUGGUGCAGCAACAAUCUUGGGAUUUUUUGAUAUAUGUCGAAAAAUAGUCUACUUGGAGUUCCUGCUGUGGUUCAGUGGGUUAAGAAUCCGACUGCAAUAGCUCAGAUCACUGUGGAAGUGUGAGUUCAAUCCCCACGUGAUGUGGUGUGUUAAAGGAUUUGAUGUUGCCACACCUGUGGCAUAGGUCACAGCUGUAGCUCGGAUUCAGUCCCUGGCCCAGGAACUUCCAUAUGCUGUGGGUGUGGCC
rnacentral:lncRNA from 1 species